rnacentral:rRNA from 1 species
CAUGCCAUAGCACUUAGCCAACCUCGGCUGAACUCCAAAAGAUAAGUAAGACUGGACCUGUUUAGCAUUUGGAUGGGAGACCACCAGGAAAUGCCAGGGC